UGGGGAAUUUUGGACAAUGGGCGAAAGCCUGAUCCAGCAAUGCCGCGUGUGUGAAGAAGGCCUUCGGGUUGUAAAGCACUUUUGUCCGGAAAGAAAUCCUUGGCUCUAAUACAGUCGGGGGAUGACGGUACCGGAAGAAUAAGCACCGGCUAACUACGUGCCAGCAGCCGCGGUAAUACGUAGGGUGCAAGCGUUAAUCGGAAUUACUGGGCGUAAAGCGCGCGCAGGCGGUUUGCUAAGACCGAUGUGAAAUCCCCGGGCUCAACCUGGGAACUGCAUUGGUGACUGGCAGGCUAGAGUAUGGCAGAGGGGGGUAGAAUUCCACGUGUAGCAGUGAAAUGCGUAGAGAUGUGGAGGAAUACCGAUGGCGAAGGCAGCCCCCUGGGCCAAUACUGACGCUCAUGCACGAAAGCGUGGGGAGCAAACAGGAUUAGAUACCCUGGUAGUCCACGCCCUAAAACGAUGUCAACUAGUUGUUGGGGAUUCAUUUCCUUAGUAACGUAGCUAACGCGUGAAGUUGACCGCCUGGGGAGUACGGUCGCAAGAUUAAAACUCAAAUGAAUUGACGGGGUCAUAGCUGUUUCCU
rnacentral:rRNA from 1 species